AACACAAAGAAGAGCAAAAAUAAGGCCAUUUCGGGUUUGGCCAUAGGAAAAUCACCCCUCAAAAUCUUGCCUCUAAAAUUAUUUUCUUGUUGAAUUCCUACUAAAUUAAGUGUCCUUUACAACUUGGUGUAGUUGUUUUGGAAGAAGGAGCACUUAUUUCUUCAAGUUGACAACUUGUUCAAGUGAAGAAAUUUGUAGAAAAAGAUUUUGAAGGAAACGGGAAUUGAAUUUGGAAAGGCGUAAAGAGCAUACAAGGUACAGACGACAGAUUUGCUGACCGCCUGCCUAGGAUAUCUAUUCUGCUAUUUUGGGAGUGCUCUUUUGUCCAGAGCCUAUAUGUUGGUACAGUCUGCUGCUAUUGUAUAUAUGUAUGCUAUUCAGGGGUAUGACGGGGCCCUGUCCCGUCUUAUGAUUCUGUUAUGUUCUGUAGAGGUCUGUA